GCGCGCGUGGGAGUCGAUCCGGCGCGGAAGGGAGGUGAGGCGCGCGACGGUGCUAAGGGUCUGGCUCGGGAGGGAGGCAAGGAUGCGGACAUAGAAGGGGCAGCGAUCCCCACUCGCCGCCUAUGAAUCCUGGCUUGGGAGGGAGGCGAGGAUGCGGUCAUCGAAGGGGCAGCAAUCCCCACUCGCCGCCGAUAUAUCCUGGUCUCAAAAGGCGGCGUCAUGGGAGCACUCUCAGACCGGUGCAGCCAUGGGGGUGGUCUCAACUGCCAGGGGAACGAUAGUUGGCACUUGGCAGCAAGAAAACAGAGAAACCAGAAACUCAGUGAUAGAUAGGAGGUCAGCAGGUGGCUAUAUAGACUCCGCUACUGCGGGUCAUGCUGGGCAUCAGUUUGCGAUGUGAGUGGUGGAGAUGAUGGGAGGAGGGGUGACGAUGAUGGAUCGGCAGAGAAAAGGAUUCAGGAAUACUUUCCCAUGGCUUUUCCGCUGGGAGUCUAACAGCUCAACGUUUGUCGGUGCCCUUGUGCUCAAAAUUCCUAUACAUGUUGAUCCAUGUAUGGCUUCCUAGAAUCAAACUUUGGUUUUUUUUAAGGAGAACACUUUGGUCAUUUUUUAACGUUUUCUACUGUACAGUCUUUGCUUUUAAAGUGAUGUUGAUCCGAUAUAUGUUGAGAAUAUCACAUGGGUAUUAGUUAUCUGACUGUUAAAUUUAAAUUGCUGCCUUUGAGUUCUUUAUUUGCAUAUGAGUAUAAUGUUUUUGGUCGAGGUGAGGUGAUUAUAAAAUGUCAAAGGAUAUGGCAUUAUUACUAUCAAUAGUCAAUUGAUUCUUCUUUUGCUAUAAAUUUGACAAGUAAGGUGAAGGCUUCGGAUUUUGGUGUCUAUAUUUACUCAUUUCUUUUCUUUCUAGACCUGGUUAGCUCUACAUUUCGGCAACUCAUUUAUUCUAUUUCUAUGUUAGAAACUCAGUUUCUUCAUGGUAAAUUAUGGCUUGCUUAUCCACACAAGAUUCUCACUGGUCAACCCUUUUGCAUGCCCCCACAUUCAGGUUAAUUUUUCUACUUAAACAUUUACUUGACCUGUUACCCUACGUCAUGAAUUAUUUACAUAGAGAAUAUACAUUUAGUUUUCUUCUACCUCUUGAAUGUUUCCAGAUAUUGCUCAUAGAAAAUUUUAAAAUCACUGUCUACAUGUGAUUAAUUCAUCUCAUUUAUAAGUUUGUUCAAGGAAAUAUGUGAUGUUUUUUCAUUUGUCCAUCAGUUAUUCACAAAAGAAAAAUGUUUUCUUGGUAUGGCCGAGAGUUUUGUCAUGUCUCCUAUUUGUACUAUUUUUUUAGCAUAUGAGUUUAAUAUACUAAUAUUGACAACAUGAAUGCUCACAAUGAUUUACAUUUCAUAGUACUAUAAAUCCAUAUGUUCUGCCAACGGGUGAGUAAGUUCCACUAAUUCAGAUUAUAACUUGUUUUCUAAAUGCUUCCCCUAUACAACUCUAAUUUGGAAAUAAGAUGGGGGUCAUGCAUGGGUGGUUUCGGGCUUCAACUGAGGAUUUGUUAAGGCUUCAUGGUUUUGGUGUCACAAUAUCAAGUCCAUCCAACAAUAUUCCUUUCAAACAAGAAGAGCAUUCACCGGGGGAGCUAUUAAUGUAUCUAUGUUCAAACCUGGAGUCGCCAGAGGUAAUAGGUUUGAUUUUCUAGUAUAAUUAAUUACAUAGAACAUAAAUCUGUAGAAAAAGGCUAUCAUUUACGGACAUGUAUCUUGUAUUUAGUCAAUCCUCACCAUAGUCGUUGACCUAUAAUUCGUUACAGGAUGUACAUGCAUGCAUAUAUAUAUAUACACCAAGUAUAAACAUAGGGAAUUCCGACUAAUAAAAUUGCUUCCCUAUGGAGUGGUGGAAAAUAAGCUCAUUUGCUAGAGAAAGCUGCCAAGUUACGAUCUAGGGCUUGAGAAGGUAGUCAUUUGAAUUUGUAUAUAUUGUCUUACCAGUAAUGUAGUCAUUUUUGUUAAUGUAGUAAAUAAUCAUUUUGAUAAAUAACUUUUUU